rnacentral:rRNA from 1 species
CCUACGGGUGGCAGCAGUGGGGAAUAUUGGGCAAUGGGCGCAAGCCUGACCCAGCAACGCCGCGUGAGGGAUGAAGGUCUUCGGAUCGUAAACCUCUGUCAGCAGGGAAGAACGGUCACUGUGCUAAUCAGCAGUGCAUUGACGGUACCUGCAAAGGAAGCACCGGCUAACUCCGUGCCAGCAGCCGCGGUAAUACGGAGGGUGCGAGCGUUAAUCGGAAUUACUGGGCGUAAAGCGCUCGUAGGCGGUAUGUCAAGUCAAGGGUGAAAUCCCCGCGCUCAACGUGGGAACGGCAUUUGAAACUGACAAACUGGAGUGUGGGAGAGGAUAGUGGAAUUCCAGGUGUAGGAGUGAAAUGCGUAGAUAUCUGGAGGAACAUCAGUGGCGAAGGCGACUAUCUGGCACAUAACUGACGCUGAGGAGCGAAAGCGUGGGUAGCAAACAGGAUUAGAUACCCCUGUAGUC